GGCCAUUGAGACCCUUGUUAGUUGAAAGUGUUGCCGUUAGCACCAUUGUUGCUUGUUGUUGAGUGUUUCGGCUAUUAUUGUGUUUGGGGUGUAACCUUGUUGCCGUGGGACACUUGGGUUGUUGGGAUUGCCAACUUUGUGGACGUGAGGUUCAUUGUGAUCUUUGGUGACUUAGUGGCCGUAAGCUUCCUAGGAACACUUGGUAUUUGGGGAUUCUUGCAAGUUGCCGUGAACCUUGGGGAGGUUUAUAUUGGGUCAUUGCCGUGGACAUCCUUGUGAC
rnacentral:misc_RNA from 1 species